UACGUAGGGGGCAAGCGUUAUCCGGAUUUACUGGGUGUAAAGGGAGCGUAGACGGCAUGGCAAGUCAGAUGUGAAAGCCCGGGGCUCAACCCCGGGACUGCAUUUGAAACUGUCAGGCUGGAGUGCAGGAGAGGUAAGCGGAAUUCCUAGUGUAGCGGUGAAAUGCGUAGAUAUUAGGAGGAACACCAGUGGCGAAGGCGGCUUACUGGACUGUAACUGACGUUGAGGCUCGAAAGCGUGGGGAGCAAGCAGG
rnacentral:rRNA from 1 species